GUCCCACAUGAAGGGCCGACACUAACUGUGAGAAGCUCUGCAUGAGAAUAGUCUGGGCUGUAGCCUGUGUGCUGCCAGUGCUAGUGGAGCGGCUUCUGUUGAUUCAAGACACCCUGGGCUACACCGGACUCCAUUUCAACUUCUCCACACUUCCCCGCAGAAGAAGGCUUUGCCGUUGAGUUUGAUGUUCAUUCUCGGCCAGCCCGCCACUCACUGCAAGAGAUUCUCUCAGGGAGCCUGCUGCGGCUGGGAACCAUGACAGUGAGGGGGGCUGCGCUGGCCCCAGACCCAGCAUCACCCACAACCACAGCAGCUUCACCUAGUGUCUCUGCCACCCCCGAGGGCAGUCCCACAGCCAUGGAGCACCCCGUGUUUCUGAUGACCAC
rnacentral:lncRNA from 1 species